UGCGUAGGCGGUGCGGUAAGUCUUCUGUGAAACCUCCGGGCUUAACUCGGAGCCUGCAGGGGAAACUGCCGUGCUGGAGUAUGGGAGAGGUGAGUGGAAUUCCCGGCGUAGCGGUGAAAUGCGUAGAUAUCGGGAGGAACACCUGUGGCGAAAGCGGCUCACUGGACCAUUACUGACGCUGAAGCACGAAAGCUAGGGGAGCAAACAGGAUUAGAUACCCUGGUAGUCCUAGCCCUAAACGAUGAUCGCUUGGUGUGACAGGUACCCAAUCCUGUCGUGCCGGAGCUAACGCGUUAAGCGAUCCGCCUGGGGAGUACGGUCGCAAGGCUGAA
rnacentral:rRNA from 1 species